AGCCCACAGUAAAGAUGGCCACCGGGAAGUCGCAUGCGUAUACCACCCAGUAAGGUUCUGCCAGAAAGGCAGCACCGCCGGGCCGGCGGGACGAACGCAGGAACCAACCGAGAUUGGAGGCGAGUCUCAUGCAGUCUCCGUUUAUUGGUGUUUCAGACUCAUGCAGCAUCCGGCAUACAAAAAGGGAGAAAUCAGUUUGAUAAUAGCCUUUUUUUUUUUUUUUU
rnacentral:lncRNA from 1 species